rnacentral:rRNA from 1 species
GGAAACAGGUGCUAAUACCGUAUAACACUAUUUUCCGCAUGGAAGAAAGUUGAAAGGCGCUUUUGCGUCACUGAUGGAUGGACCCGCGGUGCAUUAGCUAGUUGGUGAGGUAACGGCUCACCAAGGCCACGAUGCAUAGCCGACCUGAGAGGGUGAUCGGCCACACUGGGACUGGGACACGGCCCAGACUCCUACGGGAGGCAGCAGUAGGGAAUCUUCGGCAAUGGACGAAAGUCUGACCGAGCAACGCCGCGUGAGUGAAGAAGGUUUUCGGAUCGUAAAACUCUGUUGUUAGAGAAGAACAAGGAUGAGAGUAAAAUGUUCAUCCCUUGACGGUAUCUAACCAGAAAGCCACGGCUAACUACGUGCCAGCAGCCGCGGUAAUACGUAGGUGGCAAGCGUUGUCCGGAUUUAUUGGGCGUAAAGCGAGCGCAGGCGGUUUCUUAAGUCUGAUGUGAAAGCCCCCGGCUCAACCGGGGAGGGUCAUUGGAAACUGGGAGACUUGAGUGCAGAAGAGGAGAGUGGAAUUCCAUGUGUAGCGGUGAAAUGCGUAGAUAUAUGGAGGAACACCAGUGGCGAAGGCGGCUCUCUGGUCUGUAACUGACGCUGAGGCUCGAAAGCGUGGGGAGCGAACAGGAUUAGAUACCCUGGUAGUCCACGCCGUAAACGAU